AUCUCACCACACUAUGGAUUUAAUCCUGGUUAAGUAUGUUGCCUGUGGCACCCUUAAACACUUGCAAUUUACUGACGUCAUGUCUCACAUGCAUGCCUAACAUUGGACCUGGAUGUGGAUGAGGAGGAAGCAAAUAGAAAAACACAUGAGGUUUUUUCAGCACUUCAUAUGCAUCACCUCCACACUUCCCAGAGCUACAAAUCUAAACUCAUGGUCUAUCUUGGCCCUGGUAUUUUGAUUCCAUUCUGACCACCAGGGAUCUGAAUGCUGCUCAGCUCCAUGCAAGAUAACAUAUUUAUCAGCAUAUGACACGCACAUUUAACUCCUGAAAAGCUUUCUGUUAAAGACGGAAGAAAGAGUGAAGUUAAUGUUGAAGAUAAAGUUCUUAAAGGGUCCCAGUAAGUUGCAGUUUGCGCAGUCCUCCUUGAUAUAUCAAUCCCCCUUCAAAUCACAGUGUCCCUUUCACAGUCACGUUCUAAAGAUCAUGCACUUACCCUGAGGAGGAGCAAUGGUCCUGCCAGAAGCCGAUGCUGGAGGGUCUUGAAUGCAGCUUUCUGUUAAAGACGGAAGAAAGAGUGAAGAGUCAAGCUCUAUGAUUUUGACCCCUGCUGCUGAAUCCAGGGACAUCCUCUGACA